rnacentral:rRNA from 1 species
AGCAGCCGCGGUAAUUCCAGCUCCAAUAGCGUAUAUUAAAGUUGUUGCAGUUAAAAAGCUCGUAGUUGAACUUCAGGCCUGGCUGGACGGUCCGCCUUCCGGGUGAGUACUGUCUGUGGUCGGGUCCUACCUUCUGGCGAAGCGUCAUGGCCUUAACCGGCCGUGGCGGGGAACCAGGACUUUUACUGUGAAAAAAUUAGAGUGUUCAAAGCAGGCAAUUCGCUUGGAUACAUUAGCAUGGAAUAAUGGAAUAGGACAAUUGUUCUAUUUGUUGGUUU